UGGCUCAGGCGAAGCUUUACAGAAGCCGACUUGCUCGUGAAGAUAGAAAACCUGCUUCCGGUUCUUCAUUUCUGCAAGGACUUUUCCUCAGCAAACAUUUGUAACACUGGUUAUAUUUAUUUCAGUUCUUAAAAAAGCAUGGGACGAAUAGGAGAAAAUAGAGGAAUAUCAAGGUAAGAUCCUAGGAAAGGAUGCCUCAAAUUAAUUGAAGGCCCACUGAAAGGAGUCAGACAUAUCAUGCAAUAUGAAAUAACAUUCUUCAAAUUGUGCAAAGGAACUACCUUUGCUGUCCCAUUGGCUCGAUAGACAUCAAAGUAGUGUGAAAUGAUUCAGUCUCCGUCUAUUUACAACGUUAUUAUAUCCUGCCCAAAAAAGUAAAACUAAUUAUACCACCAUAAGUUUAUACAAACCACAUCAGACAUAUAUUAGAUCAAAACGGACAAGAAAGCAUCAACGAAGUUUGAAGAUUCCACCCUCUAGAUUAACAUUGGACUGUAGACUUGACAGCGAAAUCAGUUAUUUGUAGCUUCUUUCAACAAAGUUUGCAAAAGUUACACAAAAUAACCUUUUUUUUAACAUUGCCACUUUUUUUAGCAGAGCUCAAAUAACCUUGUUGUUCAAAUAUGAGAAAAGUUAUAGCUUAAUGAUUAACCAAAGUUCGUUUUCUUGAAAAAGUGUAUCAAACUUUUACGAGAAGGCUAUACAAUAUUUUACUAAACUAAAUUCUUUCAGGCUGUUCUUUAAAAUCAAGGCAUCCCUCAUCAAGUCAUACUUUUCUAGUACCUCCUACAAAUUCU
rnacentral:lncRNA from 1 species